UACGAAGGGGGCUAGCGUUGUUCGGAAUCACUGGGCGUAAAGGGCGCGUAGGCGGCUUUAUAAGUCGGGGGUGAAAGCCUGUGGCUCAACCACAGAAUUGCCUUCGAUACUGUAGAGCUUGAGACCGGAAGAGGUAAGUGGAACUGCGAGUGUAGAGGUGAAAUUCGUAGAUAUUCGCAAGAACACCAGUGGCGAAAGCGGCGUGCUGGACCCUUUCUGACGCUGAGGCGCGAAAGCCAGGGGAGCAAACGGG
rnacentral:rRNA from 1 species